rnacentral:rRNA from 1 species
GGUCUCCGUUGGUGAACCAGCGGAGGGAUCAUUACCGAGUUUACAACUCCCAAACCCCUGUGAACAUACCUAUACGUUGCCUCGGCGGAUCAGCCCGCGCCCUGUAAAACGGGACGGCCCGCCCGAGGACCCUAAACUCUGUUUUUAGUGGAACUUCUGAGUAAAACAAACAAAUAAAUCAAAACUUUCAACAACGGAUCUCUUGGUUCUGGCAUCGAUGAAGAACGCAGCAAAAUGCGAUAAGUAAUGUGAAUUGCAGAAUUCAGUGAAUCAUCGAAUCUUUGAACGCACAUUGCGCCCGCCAGUAUUCUGGCGGGCAUGCCUGUUCGAGCGUCAUUUCAACCCUCAAGCUCAGCUUGGUGUUGGGACUCGCGGUAACCCGCGUUCCCCAAAUCGAUUGGCGGUCACGUCGAGCUUCCAUAGCGUAGUAAUCAUACACCUCGUUACUGGUAAUCGUCGCGGCCACGCCGUAAAACCCCAACUUCUGAAUGUUGACCUCGGAUCAGGUAGGAAUACCCGCUGAACUUAAGCAU